rnacentral:rRNA from 1 species
ACGAGAUCCUUCUUUGAGCCUUCUACACAACGACUAUAACCAUGUGUAUAGUCCAGAAUUCGUCGAAUUCUAGGCGACGUCGCCCCUGUGCUGGAACCCUGUCACUCUUAUAGCGGACCAGCAGCCAGGAUUUCCUGGUUCACAGAUUAGGUGGUGGCGGUCCCCAAGUCCUUGAGGCUAGGAUCAAGAUAUAAUCGGUCUCCAUCCCCACAACGAUGGUUGAGAAACGUUCCGUAGGUGAACCUGCGGAAGGAUCAUUA